GAUGAACGCUGGCGGCGUGCCUAAUACAUGCAAGUCGAGCGAACGGACGAGAAGCUUGCUUCUCUGAUGUUAGCGGCGGACGGGUGAGUAACACGUGGAUAACCUACCUAUAAGACUGGGAUAACUUCGGGAAACCGGAGCUAAUACCGGAUAAUAUUUUGAACCGCAUGGUUCAAAAGUGAAAGACGGUCUUGCUGUCACUUAUAGAUGGAUCCGCGCUGCAUUAGCUAGUUGGUAAGGUAACGGCUUACCAAGGCAACGAUGCAUAGCCGACCUGAGAGGGUGAUCGGCCACACUGGAACUGAGACACGGUCCAGACUCCUACGGGAGGCAGCAGUAGGGAAUCUUCCGCAAUGGGCGAAAGCCUGACGGAGCAACGCCGCGUGAGUGAUGAAGGUCUUCGGAUCGUAAAACUCUGUUAUUAGGGAAGAACAUAUGUGUAAGUAACUGUGCACAUCUUGACGGUACCUAAUCAGAAAGCCACGGCUAACUACGUGCCAGCAGCCGCGGUAAUACGUAGGUGGCAAGCGUUAUCCGGAAUUAUUGGGCGUAAAGCGCGCGUAGGCGGUUUUUUAAGUCUGAUGUGAAAGCCCACGGCUCAACCGUGGAGGGCCAUUGGAAACUGGAAAACUUGAGUGCAGAAGAGGAAAGUGGAAUUCCAUGUGUAGCGGUGAAAUGCGCAGAGAUAUGGAGGAACACCAGUGGCGAAGGCGACUUUCUGGUCUGUAACUGACGCUGAUGUGCGAAAGCGUGUGGAUCAAACAGGAUUAGAUACCCUGGUAGUCCACGCCGUAAACGAUGAGUGCUAAGUGUUAGGGGGUUUCCGCCCCUUAGUGCUGCAGCUAACGCAUUAAGCACUCCGCCUGGGGAGUACGACCGCAAGGUUGAAACUCAAAGGAAUUGACGGGGACCCGCACAAGCGGUGGAGCAUGUGGUUUAAUUCGAAGCAACGCGAAGAACCUUACCAAAUCUUGACAUCCUUUGACAACUCUAGAGAUAGAGCCUUCCCCUUCGGGGGACAAAGUGACAGGUGGUGCAUGGUUGUCGUCAGCUCGUGUCGUGAGAUGUUGGGUUAAGUCCCGCAACGAGCGCAACCCUUAAGCUUAGUUGCCAUCAUUAAGUUGGGCACUCUAAGUUGACUGCCGGUGACAAACCGGAGGAAGGUGGGGAUGACGUCAAAUCAUCAUGCCCCUUAUGAUUUGGGCUACACACGUGCUACAAUGGACAAUACAAAGGGCAGCGAAACCGCGAGGUCAAGCAAAUCCCAUAAAGUUGUUCUCAGUUCGGAUUGUAGUCUGCAACUCGACUACAUGAAGCUGGAAUCGCUAGUAAUCGUAGAUCAGCAUGCUACGGUGAAUACGUUCCCGGGUCU
rnacentral:rRNA from 1 species